rnacentral:misc_RNA from 1 species
AUGAAGAACGCAGCGAAAUGCGAUAAGUAAUGUGAAUUGCAGAAUUCAGUGAAUCAUCGAAUCUUUGAACGCACCUUGCGCCCUUUGGCCAUUCCGAAGGGCAUGCCUGUUUGAGUAUCAUGAACACCUCAACUCUUCAUGGUUUUCCAUGAUGAGCUUGGACUUUGGGGGUCUUGCUGGCCUGUGGGUCGGCUCCUCUCAAAUGAAUCAGCUUGCCGGUUUUUGGUGGGCAUCACAGGUGUGAUAACUAUCUACGCUUGUGGUUUUCCACCAGGGUAACCUUCAGCAGUGGAGGUUCACUGGAGCUUACAAAUGUCUCUCCUCUGUGAGGACAGCCCUUUGAAUGUUUGAUCUCAAAUCAGGUAGGACUACCCGCUGAACUUAAGCAUAUCAAUAAGCGGAGGA